CCUUUCCUGUGCCUCAGUUGCUAGAGCAUUGCGAUAUAAACGCAAAGGUAGUGGGUUCAAAUUCCAGGGAAAGCA